CAGCGCGGUCGGUUCCGCCCGACUCUAACAUGGCGGCGCCCUUUCUCUGUUCAGAAGUGCCGUCCCGCCUUCUCGCGGCCGUGACGCCCCUCACGCUGCGGUGGGGUCCGGGACAUGGCGGGUGAGGGUAAUGAUCUGGAGGAGGAGAGCCAAGCUGGAGUUUCCCCCGUCAAGCCGUCCAGAGUAGCCUGGGCUACUUGGAAAUCUGAGUAGGUCAUCCAGAGGACGUAAGACAUGGUGGCUACUAAUGGACUCUUUCCAUGGUGCUUCUUCAUGCCAUACUCCUGCAAGGACAAUGAUUAUCACAGCUUCCCUUGAACUUGAUCCGAUGGGCCUGAUAAUCUAUGUGAGCCUGCUUCUGCUGACUCCAAAAGUCCUGAGUCUGCUGUUUGAUCCUCAAGACAAUACCUUCCUGUCCUGGGCUCACUCCUAUGCCACAUUCCACAAUUGGUCUAACUGCUGGGUCUGUGGAGCACUCCCCUCUUCAUCAGUGGAAGGCUUCCCAUGGUGGACAUCUCCACUUCAAGGAAAAGACUUUCUCCAAGUCUGCAAAUACCUUCAACAACAGCAACCAUAUGUGAUGCCUCUUCUUAAUCUGAUGACAUCUAAUAAUCCUAAUAUGGACUGGUGCAACACUUUGUACCUUAACUGUGGACAUAAUGUGACUUUUAACUUUGCUGAUUGUUCUGUUCUUGCUGUUUGCUCCCUGCAUCUGUAACUGCGUAGCUGGAUUUGUUUCUAGCUGCAUGAAGGCUUUUAAGUUACAAAUGGUUGCUCAA